rnacentral:tRNA from 1 species
CGGGACGUGGCGCAGCCUGGUAGCGCAUCUGCUUUGGGAGCAGAGGGUCGCUGGUUCGAAUCCAGUCGUCCCGA